UGCAGUCGAACGAGAACGGAUUAUAGCUUGCUAUAAUUGUCAGCUAAGUGGCGCACGGGUGAGUAAUAUAUAGAUAACCUGCCCUCAAGAAAGGAAUAACAGUUGGAAACGACUGCUAAUGCCCUAUAUGCCUUUAAUACAUAAGUAUGCAAGGGAAACGCUUUAGUGCUUGAGGAUGGGUCUGUAUGGUAUCAGCUUGUUGGUGAGGUAAUGGCUCACCAAGGCUAUGACGCCUAACUGGUUUGAGAGGAUGAUCAGUCACACUGGAACUGAGACACGGUCCAGACUCCUACGGGAGGCAGCAGCGGGGAAUAUUGCACAAUGGACGAAAGUCUGAUGCAGCAACGCCGCGUGGAGGAUGACACAUUUCGGUGCGUAAACUCCUUUUAUAUGGGAAGAUAAUGACGGUACCAUAUGAAUAAGCACCGGCUAACUCCGUGCCAGCAGCCGCGGUAAUACGGAGGGUGCAAGCGUUACUCGGAAUCACUGGGCGUAAAGAGCGUGUAGGCGGAUAUAUAAGUCAGAAGUGAAAUCCAAUAGCUUAACUAUUGAACUGCUUUUGAAACUGUAUAUCUAGAAUGUGGGAGAGGUAGAUGGAAUUUCUGGUGUAGGGGUAAAAUCCGUAGAGAUCAGAAGGAAUACCGAUUGCGAAGGCGAUCUACUGGAACAUUAUUGACGCUGAGACGCGAAAGCGUGGGGAGCAAACAGGAUU
rnacentral:rRNA from 1 species